rnacentral:rRNA from 1 species
AUUGAACGCUGGCGGCAUGCUUUACACAUGCCAGUCGAACGGCAGCGCGGGCUUCGGCCUGGCGGCGAGUGGCGAACGGGUGAGUAAUACAUCGGAACGUGCCCAGUAGUGGGGGAUAGCUCGGCGAAAGCCGGAUUAAUACCGCAUACGACCUGAGGGUGAAAGCGGGGGAUCUUCGGACCUCGCGCUAUUGGAGCGGCCGAUGGCAGAUUAGCUAGUUGGUGGGGUAAAGGCCUACCAAGGCGACGAUCUGUAGCUGGUCUGAGAGGACGACCAGCCACACUGGGACUGGGACACGGCCCAGACUCCUACGGGAGGCAGCAGUGGGGAAUUUUGGACAAUGGGCGAAAGCCUGAUCCAGCAAUGCCGCGUGUGUGAUGAAGGCCUUCGGGUUGUAAAGCACUUUUGGCGGGAACGAAAAGGACUGUGCCAAUACCACGGUUCGAUGACGGUACCCGCAGAAUAAGCACCGGCUAACUACGUG